GGAGCCGGCCAGGCAGCCGCCGCGCCCCGCGGCGGGCGCGGAGGAAAGUCCGGGCUCCACAGGGCAGGGUGCCAGGUAACGCCUGGGCGGCGCGAGCCGACGGAAAGUGCCACAGAAAACAGACCGCCGAUGGCCGGCCCCGUGCCGGCACAGGCAAGGGUGAAAAGGUGCGGUAAGAGCGCACCGCGCGGGUGGUAACACUCCGCGGCAGGGCAAACCCCACCCGGAGCAAGACCAAAUAGGGGGGCAUGCGGCCGAGCGCCGCGGCGCGUGGCCCGCGCGCAGCCCCCGGGUAGGUCGCUCGAGGCGUGCGGCGACGCACGUCCCAGAUGAAUGGCUGCCCACGACAGAACCCGGCUUAUCGGCCGGCUCCCCCC
rnacentral:RNase_P_RNA from 1 species